rnacentral:rRNA from 1 species
GAUGAACGCUGGCGGCGUGCUUAACACAUGCAAGUCGAGCGAGAAAAGUUCUUCGGAGCUUUUCUAGCGGCGGACGGGUGAGUAACACGUGGGCAACCUGCCUCAUAGAGGGGAAUAGCCUUCCGAAAGGAAGAUUAAUACCGCAUAACAUUGUUGAAAGGCAUCUUUUAACAAUCAAAGGAGCAAUCCGCUAUGAGAUGGGCCUGCGGCGCAUUAGCUAGUUGGUGAGGUAACGGCUCACCAAGGCGACGAUGCGUAGCCGACCUGAGAGGGGGAUCGGCCACAUUGGAACUGAGACACGGUCCAGACUCCUACGGGAGGCAGCAGUGGGGAAUAUUGCACAAUGGGGGAAACCCUGAUGCAGCAACGCCGCGUGAGUGAUGAAGGUCUUCGGAUUGUAAAGCUCUGUCUUUAGGGACGAUAAUGACGGUACCUAAGGAGGAAGCCACGGCUAACUACGUGCCAGCCGCCGCCGUAAUAC